rnacentral:lncRNA from 1 species
GAGAUAUUCUGGUGAAAAUGAUUUGACGGAUUUUCGUAUAGGGGUUAAGAAAAUUGAAAGUAGGAAUCAUCCCUCUUUUCUGUAACGCCAAACGUAUUUUUUUAUAAAUAAUUUAACGACCGAAAAUAGCAGAUUUUAUAUAAACAUGUACAUACAUGUAUGUUAUAAACAUAAACAUGUUUACCCCCGCCACAUUUUUGCGCCUGUCCCAAGUCAGCAGCCUCUGGCCUUUGUUAGUCUUGUAUUAUUUUUAAUUUUAGUUUCUUGUGUACAAUUUGGAGUUUAGUAUGGCGUUCAUUAUCACUGAACUAGUAUAUAUUUGUUUAAUAGGGACCAGGACCAGGUGCGGGAAUUUCUCGCUACGUUGAAGACAUGUUGGUGACCUUCUGCUGUUGUCUUUUCUAUGGUCGGGUAGUUGUCUCUUUGACAAAUUCCCCAUUUCCUUUCUCAAUUUUAUGACUUCCUCAAGUUUUAUAAACAAAAUGGAAAACAAUUUUCAUGCAAGUAACUUUUGUAGAUUUGUAAAUUAAAAUUUUACUACAGUUUGGGGAUUCCGGAGUGGAGGUGGGUGAGGUUCUAGGGGUUGAAACCCCCCUUUUUUUUUUUUAACUAUUAUUGCAUUUGAAUUGGGACAUAUGUUGGACCCCCUUUUUUUUUAAAUGGCUGGAUCCGCCUCUCAAGUAUACGUUAUGUUAGGUUUCAUUGCAAAUUUAUUGUGUAGCAUUUUAAAACAACAUAUUUUAUACAACCUUGAAAAUAUAUGUCAAAGUUCACCAAUAUUUACCGCAGAUAGAAAAAGGCGCGUUGUUGAAACAAUCAAAUGUGAUUAUCAAACAAGAUAGGAAUGUUAAAGUUAGGCUUGUUGCUAAUUAGAAUAAACAGGCUGGGAGUUCCGAUAAUAAAUCUCAGACAAACGCUCCAACUAGACUGUCAACAAUUGAGAUUUCCUGUCGAAAUAAUUAUCCGCUAUACUAAAGAAGAAAUGCAUGUGUUGGACGUUAUAAAAUGCGAGUUUCAUUUUAGUAUACUAGCUUUAUACAUUUUUUUUCUAAAACAUUAUUAUAUUACUACAUAUUACUUUUAACUGAUUCGCUGUAAUUGAUUGUUAUUUUCUUUACGUCCAGUCACAAAUAUUUCGAACAUGUUCAAGACAAGAACAGAUAAAUCAUAAGUACAACAUGUAGGUCCU